UACAGAGGCCACGAGCGUGAGGCGGAAUCACUGGGCUUAAAGCGUGUGUAGGGGGAUGACUAAGUACCUUGUGAAAUCCCACGGCUCAACCGUGGAACUGCUUGGUAUACUGGUUGUCUUGAGGCACUCAGGGGCGAGCGGAACAGAUGGUGGAGCGGUGAAAUGCGUAGAUAUCAUCUGGAACGCCAAUGGUGAAGCCAGCUCGCUGGGGGUGUUCUGACACUGAGACACGAAAGCCAGGGGAGCAAACGGG
rnacentral:rRNA from 1 species